AAAAUUUAGCAAAACAAGAACACUAAUAACACUAUCAAUCUUCUCAUUUCUUGAUAACAAUAUACAAAAUUUAGCAAAACAAGAACACUAAUAACACUAUGAAUCUUCUCAUUUCUUGAUAACAAUAUACCAAAUUUAGCAAAACAAGAACACUAAUAACACUAUCAAUCUUCUCCUUUCUUGAUAACAAUAUACAAAAUUUAGCAAAACAAGAACACUAAUAACGCUAUCAAUCUUCUCAUUUUUUGAUAACAAUA
rnacentral:lncRNA from 1 species